UCGGCGAUCGCGUCUUUCCAAUAACGAUGCAAAAUCCAAAUGUCAAAACGAAAUUAGAAAUUAUUCUCAUCAGAAAUCAACGAACAAGUCAAACUGAAUUAUUUUAUCCAGUGUGAUGAUUAUUGUAGGACAAAUUAAACGGAAUAAAUGCACAAAUUGAUCCAUUCAUUCGUCAUAGUGCGCGACCCCGUCAAACGAGCCAUUUCGAACUACACUCAGACCGUAUCCGAAAAGCCCGAGAUGAAGACUUCGAGCAGCUGGUCUUCCUCAAAACCCCAUCAAAGCCCAUCGGCAGUAUUGUGACAUUUUCUGGGAGCCAUCAAGCUAGGAAUGUACUCGCGCUGCCUCACUCAGUCAAUUUAAACGGAAUAAAUGCACAACCGCACAAAAUAUUUUAUUAGGUUAUGUUGCUGGUGCUGGUCGAGUCUUUAUUACUAAAAUCUUAUUAAAAUGCCAUGUUCUACUGCGAUUAGAUGAAAAAUCGAGGGCCCGCUUUUCUUAUUGUGUGAUGAUAAGAUUUACCAUCAUAAUAGCUGGCGCUUUUGAAGAGGACCUUUUAAUGAACCAUUUAGAUAACUACAAAUAACAAAACGUAACAAUUGUUGAUGAAUUAAGUAAUGAAAUAUUGUACGAAUCUGGAGAAGUAUUGCACUAUUUUCAAGAAUUGCUCAAAAACAAUGCUCUCAGCAGCUGUACAGUAAGUAAGCCGAUCUUCAAAACUCCUACGCGUGUUGAUCAGCAUUUUAGUUGAAAUCUGAAGACAAUAUUGCUGGAUUGCUUGUUUCAGCGCUUCUCUGUUUGUAUAGCUUGUCUGAAUGCAGAUGGUCGUGAAGAAAUCUCCAAAGAAAAAAUUUCUCAGGGGUUUAGAUCUGGAGAUUUGGUCCUGGAUGUAAAAGACCUGCUGCAGAUGCCACACCCUUCGAGUCCCAGGAAGUAUUUGCUGAGCUAGCAUAUUAUCCUACUUCUGAGCAUUCAAUCCGGAUUCGAUGAAAAAAGGUGCAAUGACAUGAUGUCCUAGAAACCCCAGUCAUACACUGACAAUUGCACGCCAUUGAUAACGAAGGUCAUGGACCACGUGAGGGUUGUGUAAUGCUCAAAUUUGAUCGUUCUGACGAUUAUAACUUCCCUUAAGACCAAAUGAACGUCAGUAAAACAAAUGUUCGUCAAAAACUCUCCAUCAGCCUAGAUUCUCUCAAGCGUUCCUUCGUAAAACUCUAUAUGUGAGAAGUAGUCCUCAGGCUUCAAUUUUUUGUCAUGAUGCUUUUUGAAAUUCUUCUAUCUCAUCUGUUUAAGAUUCCUAGAAAACGUCGUGCCCACCUGAUUUUAUGUAAUUUUUAUCACCUUUGAAAAUAAAUGUAACUUUAUUUUGCGAAA